UGGGGAAUAUUGCACAAUGGACGGAAGUCUGAUGCAGCAACGCCGCGUGCGGGAUGACGGCCUUCGGGUUGUAAACCGCUUUUUCUCAUGACGAAGUUUUUUGCCGGUAGUGGGGGAAGAAGCACCGGCUAACUACGUGCCAGCAGCCGCGGUGAUACGUAGGGUGCGGGCGUGGUCCGGAAUUAUUGGGCGGAAAGAGCUUGUAGGCGGGUUGUUGCGUCGAUAGUGCAAACUCAGGGCUUAACGCUGAGCCUGUAGUUGAUACGGGGAGACUAGAGGAAGGGAGGGGAGAAUGGAAUUCGCGGUGGAGGGGUGGAAGGCGCAGAUAGCGGGAGGAACAACGGGGGCGAGGGCGGUUCUGUGGGCCUUUCCUGACGCUGAGAAGCGAAAGCGUGGGGAGCGAACAGG
rnacentral:rRNA from 1 species